UACGAAGGGUGCAAGCGUUACUCGGAAUUACUGGGCGUAAAGCGUGCGUAGGUGGUUUGUUAAGUCUGAUGUGAAAGCCCUGGGCUCAACCUGGGAAUUGCAUUGGAUACUGGCAGGCUAGAGUGCGGUAGAGGAUGGCGGAAUUCCCGGUGUAGCAGUGAAAUGCGUAGAGAUCGGGAGGAACAUCUGUGGCGAAGGCGGCCAUCUGGACCAGCACUGACACUGAGGCACGAAAGCGUGGGUAGCAAACGGG
rnacentral:rRNA from 1 species